GCCUGUGACAGCCCAUUUUCACGUGCGCGCGCAGGUGCUAUAGGUGGUGCGGUUUGGUCAGCCUUCAUUUCGCCGGAAGACUUCGUAGGGUAACGAGUAUUCUUAUGUUGUGUAUAAAGUGAAUUGGGACAUCGAAUGCUGACGCUUCCAAAUCCUACUUUUGGUAGUUGUUGUUCCCCAAGGACUGAGAAACUGAAGAAAGCCGUUGUGUAAUGCCGAUGAGUGCACCAGCAGUUAUCAGACAAGGCAAAGCCCAGUAACAAGACAGUACUGAAAUGAAGGUGAUUAUCCUUCCGGUAUAACUUGUAUACAACUCCAUCACUAUCUGUUUAGGUGAACUACAGUUCAUAGUUAGCACUAAGUAAUGGGAAAAUCGAGGGUUUUCAUCUAUGAAAUGAAGGUUAUUGGGCUUUCCAUGCACUGAAUCAUGUCUUUUCAUAACGAGGCCCAAAAGGGGCGUCUUUGUCCUUCGUCGACCUUGAGUUUUAGCAACCAUAUCCCGUAUUCACCAGUGCCUCGAUGUCCUGGAUCGUAUGUGGUCAUCCUGCCUACACCACGCAGAUGUUGCAAAUCACUGUCGCCUCUGUGACAUGUUUAGUAAAUUUGACUCAUGUCUGUGAGAGUUUAUACUAGUCUAUAUAGCUUUAAAUCUUUUUUCUUCUUUUCAAGGUUUGUCGUUUUGUUGACUUGGAUUGCCUAUGCUUUUAAUAGUUCAUAAAAUUUGUACAUUAACAAUGGUUUAAAGGUGAGGUAUGAAGGUAUUGCCAUAUUGCAAAUUUAUCAGGUUGAUUUAUCAAUAGUUGCUUGCUAUGUAGUACUCAUUGUUUUGGUUGUUGAGUUUUUAAUUUUUACUAUUGUAGUUCAUUGAAUGUAUUUACCUAAAUUAUUAAUACGUAUUAUAAUGUCACUAGUAACAUUUUAAAGUUGAAGCAAUCUGAUAUAAUAGGUUAAACAUUCAUUUUUUGCAGUUGUAGACAAUAUUUAGUUUGUAUUUGUUGUACAGAUAUAACCAAAUAGAAGUUAUAUUAGCCUUUGUUACAUUACCAGUGAUAAAUCUUCACUGAAUGAUACAUCUUCACUGAAAUAUCAACAUUUAUGUACUCAAAAUUUGAUUAACCUCAACUGUGAGAAUGAGACUGUCACUGCCAUUUUAUUCUUAUAUAUCACGUGCUCACACAUUAUUGUAACCGUGUCGUUAGCUGAGACAGUGAUUCCAAGAGGUAGAGAUUAGGCAGCUAUUGAAGGCAUUUCCAAGAUGGAUAUUAAAUGAAGGAAAGCGAAUCCUGAACAAUUAAAACAAUAUAUGGGUGCUUUCCCUGGCCGUUGGCAGCGAAUCUCCAGCUAAAGUUGACCAGUGGGGUCGAUGGUCUUUCCAUUUGUUCAUACAGCCACUCUCCCACCAUUCAGUGAUCUCUUAACUGCUCCUUCAAUGAUUGCAACACUAAUUGCACCACUUCAUUUCUAGAAUGUUGAUGUGCAGACGAGAAUUCUUUUGCCACACACCUGAAGUGAACGCUCCUCUCAAAUGUGCAACCCACACCACCUUCAGUGAGUCUGAGAACAGAAGUAUAUCUAGAAGUGGAGACAUCAGAGGAACUUCCUUAAAGAGGUUUCUGUUGUCCAGCUUCCACACUAGGGCCUCCUUUACCUCCCACUUCAGAGAACUAGCCAAGGAGGAGUAUUUGAAAGGCACUCUACUAAAACUGCCUCAGUUGCUAGUUAAUCGAACACGAUUCUGCCAGCGAGGCAUGAGCUUCACCCGAGAUGACCUAGGACCAUCUACCAAAGGCAAGCUGGUUGUUCCUGCCAGGACAGGACCUGCACCACCCUCUUUCCCGUAGGGGGGUAGUGCCGUCAGUGCACCUCAUUCGGUGCAAUGUAGGCAUUACUUUAGUUUCUUUGCAGCAUCCCUUUGGCCCCUAGCUGCAACUAGUACUUUCAUUCUGUUUACUGUACCUCCGUUCAUAUUCUCUUCCUUCCAUUUUACUGUCCACCCUCUCCUAACAAUUGUUUCACCUGUAACACCUUUCAAAACUUUUACUGUCAAUUUCUGUUUCAGCACUGAAUGGCCUCAGUGUUUGGGAUAAUGCCAAAAGUCUAUAUAAAUCAAAUCAAAAUGCACCACCCUUUUUUCCAGUUAACCAAGACCCCAAAAUCAUGACAAAAGAUGAGAAGGCAAUCUUGCCUGAAACACUCAUGCCUCUGAGAGUGCUAGGACUAUCCAACUGCCCCGGUACUGCAAUUAACAAAUACCCCUUAAGUGUGUAAGGCCCUCCAGCAGGACCUCCGGGCACUCACCAUCCAAAGCAACAAAACAUGACCUCCCAUAGAACUUCACGGAAACCAAUGUGUCUCCCAAUGACAACAACACUGCAGCUGCAUCCAUCUGCCUGCUGCCUUUCAAGACAUACAACCCAGAGGCUUGGCUCUUUAAGGUAGAGAUGAUGUUUGGGUAAAAAGAGAUCCCAGUGUUGUUACAAAAAGCUGAUGCUGUCCUCGAAUUCCUACCCAAUGUUGUCAUCGAACAAAUAGCAGACUUGUUAGCCAAGCCAGACACCACUGUCAUACACUACUAGACUUUAAAGGCACAAUUAGGUCAUCCUUCAGCAUGCUCCAAGCCCUCAAGAGUUUGGAAAUUCUCAGAUAAUGGCAAUAGAUCAACGGCCCUCUAGGAAUGGCAAUAGGAGAUCAACGACCCCCUCACAUCUACAAGCAACUCUGAUUGCUAAUAACAAUUCCUGCCACAGACAGCCAACCAGAGAUGAUGAUGGACUUAGUGCACGAAGUUGCCGUGCAAAACAGUUGCUGCAUUCCCCACCCAUUCACCAUGCCUCUCGAGGAAUUUCUCAAAAUGGUAGAUGUGGUUCAUUUGGUCUAGACAUCAUCAGAGCCCACUCAACCACCUGUAGCAGCAGCCACCACACAACCAUAACCCCAAAAGUGAUGAAGAGACAGACAUCGAGACAGAUUUCCUCACCACUUCCAUACACUGCUCCUGAAACUACAAGAGGGAAAAAACAACUGAAAUAGGAUAACAACUGGUAAAUCAGAAUAUAGCCUGGCACACAACAUAAACAGAGGAUAAAAAAAGGAGGAGGAUCAAGACUUUACUUCUUUCACUGGAGAUUCGGGAGUGAGGCUAAAAUAUGUAAACAAGGCUGUAUGCUAUAAAGAAACAUGCAGUAGGGCCACAGCAGCCAAACCAACUAACAAUCAGUAAUGACCAGAAUGGUUGCCUUGUAAGGGGGAAUGAGUCUGCCUUUUGCUGUCUUUCUUCCAGGAAAAGGCAAAAACACACUUCAUACAUAUUUCUGCAUCACCAAGUGAGAUGUCCAACACACAAUUCCUUGUCAAUUUGGGCACAUGUAAAUUGUUUGUCUCAGCCAACCCAAAUGAGUGGCUAAAACCAGCUAAAACCCGCUAUAAAUUUUUGGAGCCAGAAGUAUGAAAGUAUCAUUCCAUGGUAAACCAUACAGUUGGACAUUCAUCAUAGUAGGCGUCACCGUCACAGUACUCAUAGCAGACUUCUUGAAGGUGCACAAAAUGCUGGUAGAUGUACCCAAACAACAGCUCAUUCUGAGACACCCUUAUAGCUCCCAUCACUCAAGAACCAGAAAUCCCUCACCUCCUUCAGGAAUGGGAUUUCCCAAAGUGUCAAGGACGACCUCCAGCGCCCUACAGAACACCAUAUCAAGCAUCAAGUUGUCACCAAGGGUUAACCGCAAUACACGCACGUUUCAGAUGGUUGGCUCCAGACAAACAAGCUCAUGCAAAACAAAUAUGAAAAUUUUAUAAGGAGUAGGCAGGAAUCUGCCAGAAAACCUCCGACCCAUGGGCAUCUCCUCUCCACAUGGUCCAUAUAGCUGACGGUACAUGGCAACGCUGCGGUGACGUCUGGCACCUUAUGUUAAAACUGAGGUACCCCUGCCUAAUUACUUUGCUGCGUCAUUUAUGUUGACAAUAUAACUAUUUUCAGCACCAAUGAUAAACAGCCCAUUAAGGAUGUAGAACAAGUCCUUAAGAAACUAAAAGAAAAUGGACUACUAGUCUUGACCAGAUAAAUGUGCAUGGGCAAAAAAUACAGUAGAAUUUCUAGGUCGUCAAACCUCUUCAGACGAAGAUCCAAGCCAUUGCUGAGCUCCCAAGGCCAAGAAACAAUAAAAUCGCUUCUAAAGUUUGGUGGCAUAAUCAAUUAUUACCACCAUUUUAUACCCAACCUGAGAAAAGCCAUGUCACCUUUGUAUGAAGUUUAAAAGAAAAACCUGAAUCAUGUUGGACUGAUAAUCAAGAAAUGGCUUUUCAAGGAGCCAAAAAAUGCCCUUGGUUCUGCUGCAACAAUGUUUCCUCUUCCCCAUAGGUCCCUUACACUGACCACAGUAGCACAGUGAUGGGUGCAGUACUUGCACAGGAUACAGAUGAUGGUAGUCGUCCAUUGGCAUUAUUCUUCAGCAAAAAGCUAUCUCCAGUGGAAUAGAAAUACUGCAUUUGACAGAGAGCUGCUGGUAGUCCACCACACCAUGCGACAUUUCAGGCACAUGCUCAAGGGAUGGCAAUUUGUGGUGCAAACAGACCAUCAGCCCUUGGUCCCCGCCAUCACAAAACAGACAGCUGAUUAGCAUGCCAACAGCAACAACUAUUAGCAAUCUCAGUGUUUUCCUGUACCUCUAACAACGAUGCAUAUGCCCUUCACAGAAAUAUAUCCUGAGAUUUGCAGCAACUUGGCAAAAUGGCCAUUGCCUGUGAAACAAGUACUGGACACCCUUGCCCCUAUCUACUGCCAGCUUUGAAGAGAAAGGCUAUCAGUCAUGGCCGUGAUCUGUCACAUACAUCCGGCUGCUCAACCACACUUAUCCUGACAGAACAAAGCAUUUAGUGGCCAAUGAAGACAAUAUCAAGAAAUAGGGUUGAGAAUGUCUCCUCUAACAAAUUUCCAAGGAUGCGAUGCACACAGAAUCAGUUUUAAGAGAAUUCCAAACCAACCAACUGUUGCCUUGCCCAUAUUCACACUGAUACUGUGGGCCACCCAACCCCCAUCCAAGGGGUACAGAUACCACUUUAUUUUGUCAAGUACUAGAUGGCCUGAGGCAACACCUGUCAAACAGCAGACAGUAGAAAGUUGUACAAAUGCUCUAAUCAACUGGGUUAGAUGACAGAGUACCUCAGUACAUCACCAGUGAUAGGGGGGCUAAUUUCAUGUUGGCCCAAUGGAGCUCCCUUGCCACCAACCUCAGGACAAAACUAAACCGUACGAUGGCCUACAACCUAGAAGUCAAUGGUAUGGUUAAAUGGUUACAUUAUUCCCAUGAAGCAAAACACUCCCCCAGAUGUCAAGAUGUCAGGUGGAGAAAGGAUACGUCAGGGAUUUUAUAAAGACUGAAAACAGCCCCAAAUACAGCACUCUACCCAGAUAUCCAAGGCUUCAUUGAACUUUCAGGUUUAGCAGCAGCUGUUUUUAAAACCCAAAGGUCUA